rnacentral:rRNA from 1 species
UCCUAGGGGAGGCAGCAGUGGGGAAUCUUGCNNNNNNACAAUGGGGGCAGUGCGUGAUCUCGCAAUGCCGCGUGUGUGACAUGAAGGCCUUCGUGUUGUAAAUCUCUUUUGUCCGAAGAGAAGAUAAUUGUCCUGUUUAAUACCUGGGGCCGAUAAUGACGGUUCCGGGCGAAUAAGCGCCGGCUAACUUCGUGCCCAUCAGCCGCGGUAAUAUUUAUGGUGCGAGCGUUAAUCGGAAUUACUGGGCGUAUAGCGUGCGCAGGCGGUUUUUUAAGUCUGAUGUGUGAUCCCGGGGCUGAACCUGGGAAUUGCAUUUGAGACUGCCAGUGGGCUUGAGUACGUGUCAGAGGGGGGUUGAAUUCCAUUCGUGUAGCAGUGAAAUGCGUAGAUAUGGGGAGGAGCCCCGGUGGUGAAGGUGACCCCCCUGGGCCGUGACUGACGCUCAUGCAUUGAAUAGCGUGGGGUGCCCACAGGAUUAGAUCCCCUGGUAGUCCACGCCCAUAAACGAUGUCAACUAGUUGUUGGGUGUUCUUUUCCUUCAUUAACGUUGCUGACUAACGUGUACGUCUGACCGCCUCUGGAGU